rnacentral:autocatalytically_spliced_intron from 1 species
UAACUAUCUGGCGCCUAAGAGUCCUACUGUGUCGGCUAGUCCACCCAGCACCAAAGUGCAAGGAGUUGGGGGGCAAGACAACCUGGAACGAGGGAAGCCGACGGAGAUUCUGUCUCCCAGGGCCAAUCUCGUGGCGAGCUCUAGCGAUGGAGCCGUCGUAACGCGCGGCAAGGUGUCGGCUCUGUCCCUUUUUUGGGACCGGGCUUAAGGAACGUGCUAGUCCCCUGGACCAACCAGGCCAGUUGCUGGAGUGCUUGCACCACUAAGGCAGCUGGAAGCGUUUGAGAUCGUGGAGGAAAUGCCUCGAUCGAUGCUUGGUAUCUCG